rnacentral:rRNA from 1 species
CACGUAGGGCGCAAGCGUUGUCCGGAAUUAUUGGGCGUAAAGAGCUCGUAGGCGGUGUGUCGCGUCGGCCGUGAAAACCUGCAGCUUAACUGUGGGCGUGCGGUCGAUACGGGCACCACUGGAGUUCGGCAGGGGAGACUGGAAUUCCUGGUGUAGCGGUGAAAUGCGCAGAUAUCAGGAGGAACACCGGUGGCGAAGGCGGGUCUCUGGGCCGAUACUGACGCUGAGGAGCGAAAGCGUGGGGAGCGAACAGG